rnacentral:rRNA from 1 species
GACGUAGGGGGCGAGCGUUGUCCGGAUUCAUUGGGCGUAAAGCGCGCGCAGGCGGCCUGGUUAGUCGGAUGUGAAAAUCCGGGGCUCAACCCCGGACCUGCAUCCGAUACUGCCAGGCUAGAGGCAGGUAGGGGAGAUCGGAAUUCCUGGUGUAGCGGUGAAAUGCGCAGAUAUCAGGAGGAACACCGGUGGCGAAGGCGGAUCUCUGGGCCUGUCCUGACGCUCAGGCGCGAAAGCCAGGGGAGCGAACGGG